GCCGGGGUAGCUCAAUGGUAGAGCAUCCGACUGUGGAUCGGAGAGCGCGGGUUCGAUUCCCGUCCCUGGCACCA
rnacentral:tRNA from 1 species